CAACAACAACAGCAACUCCCACAACUACAUCGUCUGGUCCAACAAGUACCACAGAGAUCCCAACAACUGUUCCCACAACCACAACUGCAGGUCCAACAACUACCACAGCAGUUCCAACAACUACAACUUCAAGUCCAACAACCACCACAGCAGGUCCCACAACAACUUCAGCAACUCCCACACCUACAUCGUCUGGUCCAACAAGUACCACAGAGAUUCCAACAACCACAACAACUGCUCCCACAACCACAACUGCAGGUCCAACAACUACCACAGCAGUUCCAACAACUAUAACUUCAAGUCCAACAACUACAACAGCAGGUCCCAAAACGACAACAGCUCUUCAAACCACCACAACUGCAGGUCCAACAACUACCACAGCAGCUCCCACAACAACAACAGCUCUUCAAACCACCACAACUGCAGGUCCAACAACUACCACAGACGGUCCUACAACAACAACAGCAGCUCAACCCACCACAACUGCAGGUCCAACAAAUACCACAGCAGUUCCAACAACUACAACAUCAAGUCCAACAACAACCACAGCAGGUCUCACAACAACAACAGCAACUCCCACAUCUACAUCGUCUGGUCCAACAAGUACCACAGAGAUUCCAACAACCACAACAACUGCUCCCACAAUCACAACUGCAGGUCCAACAACUACCACAGCAGUUCCAACAACUACAACUUCAAGUCCAACAACAACUUUAGCAACUCCCUCACCAACAUCGUCUGGUCCAACAAGUACCACAGAGAUUCCAACAUCCACAACAACUGCUCCCACAACCACAACUGCAGUUCCAACAACUACAACUUCAAGUCCAACAACUACCACAGCAGGUCCCACAACAACAACAGCAACUCCCACAACUACAUCGUCUGGUCCAACAAGUACCACAGAGAUCCCAACAACGGUUCCCACAACCACAACUGCAGGUCCAACAACUACCACAGCAGUUCCAACAACUACAACUUCAAGUCCAACAACUACCACAGCAGGUCCCACUAGAACUUCAGCAACUCCCACAACUACAUCGUCUGGUCCAACAAGUACCACAGAGAUUCCAACAACCACAACAACUGUUCCCACAACCACAACUGCAGGUCCAACAACUACCACAGCAGUUCCAACAACUACAACUUCAAGUCCAACAACUACCACAGCAGGUCCCAAAACGACAACAGCUCUUCAAACCACCACAACUGCAGGUCCAACAACUACCACAGCAGGUCCUACAACAACAACAGCAGAUCAACCCAUCACAACUGCAGGUCCAUCAACUACCACAGCAGUUCCAACAACUACAACUUUAAGUCAAACAACUACCACAGCAGGUCCCACAACAACAACAGCAACUACCACAACUACAUUGUCUGGUCCAACAAGUACCACAGAGAUUCCAACAACGACAACAACUGCUCCCACAACCACAACUGCAGGUCCAACAACUACCACAGCAGUUCCAACAACUACAACUUCAAUUCCAACAACUACCACAGCAGGUCCCACAACGACAACAGCUAUUCAAACCACCACAACUGCAGGUCCAACAACUACCAUAGACGGUCCUACAACAACAACAGCAGCUCAACCCACCACAACUGCAGGUCCAUCAACUACCACAGCAGUUCCAACAACUACAACUUCAAGUCCAACAACUACCACAGAUGGUCCUACAACAACAACAGCAGCAGCUCAACCCACCACAACUGCAGGUCCAACAACUACCACAGCAGUUCCAACAACUACAACCUCAAGUCCAACAACUACCACAGCAGGUCCCACCACAACAACAGCAACUCCCACAACUACAUCGUCUGGUCCAACAAGAACCACAGAGAUUCCAACAACCACAACAACUGCUCCCACAACCACAACUGCAGGUCCAACAACUACCACAGCAGUUCCAACAACUACAACUUCAAGUCCAACAACAACCACCUCAGGUCCCACAACAACAACAGCUCCUGGAACAACCACAACUGAAGGUCCAACAAUUACCACAACAGGGCCCAAAACAACAACAGCAACUCCCACAACUACAUCGUCUGGUCCAAGAAGUACCACAGAGAUUCCAACAACCACAACAACUGCUCCCACAACCACAACAGCAGGUCCAACAACUACCACAGCAGUGCCAACAGCUACAACUUCAAGUCCAACAACUACCACAGCAGGUCCUACAACAACAACAGCAGCUCAACCAACCACAACUGCAGGUCCAACAACUACCACAGCAGUUCCAACAACUACAACUUCAAGUCCAACAACUACCACAGCAGGUCCCACAACAACAACAGCAACUCCCACAACUACAUCGUCUGGUCCAACAAGUACCACAGAGAUUCCAACAACCACAACAACUGCUCCCACAACCACAACUGCAGGUCCAACAACUACCAUAGCAGUUCCAACAACUACAACUUCAAGUCCAACAACUUCCACAGCAGAUCCCACAACGACAACAGCUCUUCAAACCACCACAACUGCAGGUCCAACAACUAAAACAGCAGUUCCAACAACAACAACUUCAAGUCCAACAACUACCACAGCAGUUCCCACAACAACAACAGCAACUCCCACAACUACAUCGGCUGGUCCAACAAGAACCACAGAGAUCCCAACAACUGCUCCCACAACCACAACUGCAGGUCCAACAACUACCACAGCAGGUCCCACAACGACAACAGCUCUUCAAACCACCACAACUGCAGGUCCAACAACUACCACAGAGGGUCCUACAACAACAACAGCUGCUCAACCCACCACAACUGAAGGUCCAACAACUUCUACAGCAGGUCCCACAACAACAACAGCAACUCCCCUAACUACAUCGUCUGGUCCAACAAGUACCACAGAAAUUCCAACAACCACAACAACUGCUCCAACAACCACAACUGAUGGUCCAACAACUACCACAGCAGGUCUCACAACAACAACAGCAACUUCCACGUCUACAUCGUCUGGUUCAACAAGUACCACAGAAAUUCCAACAACCACAACAACUGCUCCCACAACCACAACUGCAGGUCGAACAACUACCACAGAGAUUCCAACAACCACAACAAUUGCUCCCACAACCACAACUGCAGGUCCAACAACUACCACAGCAGUUCCAACAACUACAACUUCAAGUCCAACAAUUACCACAGCAGGUCCCACAACGACAACAGCUCCUGAAACAACCACAACUGAAGGUCCAACAACUACCACAACAGGGCCCAAACCAACAACAGCAACUCCCACAACUACAUCGUCUGGUCCAACAAGUACCACAGAGAAUACAACAACCACAACACCAGCUCAACCCACCACAACUGCAAGUCCAACAACUACCACAGCAGUUCCAACGACUACAACUUCAAGUCCAACAACUACCACAACAGGUCCCACAACAACAACAGCAACUCCAUUAACUACCACAGCAGGUCGUUCAUCAACCACAGCAACUCCCACAACUACAUCGUCUAGUCCAACAAGUAGCACGGAGAGUCCAACAACCACAACAGCUGCUCUAACAACCACAACUGCUGGUCCAACAACAACCACAGCAGGUCCCACAAAGACAACAACUCUUCAAAUCACCACAACUACAGGUCCAACAACUACCACAGCAGUUCCAACAACUACAACUUCAAGUCCAACAACUACCAUAGCAGGUCCCACAACGAGAGCAACUUCCACAACUAAAUCGUCUGGUCCAACAAUUACCACGGAGAGUCCAACAACCACAACAGUGCAAACAACAACAACGUCAGGACCAACAACUACUACAGCAGGUCCAAAAAGUGCAACAACAGCUGCUCCAACAACCAUAACUGUAGGUCCAACAACUACAACAGCUGCUCAACCCACCACAACAGCAACUCCAACAACUACCUCGUCUGGUCCAACAAGUACCACAGAAAGUCCAACAACUACCACAGCUGGUCCCACAACAACAACAGCAACUCCCCCAAGUACCACAGAGAUUCCAACAACCACUCCCACAACCACAUCUGCAGGUCCAACAACUACCACAGCAGUUCCAACAACUACAACCUCAAGUCCAACAACUACCACAGCUGGUCCUACAACGAACACAGCUCCUGAAACAACCACAACUGAUGGUCCAACAACUAUCACAGCCGGUCCCACAACAACAACAGCAACUCCCACAACUACAUCGUCUGGUCCAACAAGUACCACGGAGAGCUCAACAACCACAACAGCUGCUCCAACAACUAUAACCUCAAGUCCAACAACUACCACAGCUGGUCCUACAACGAACACAGCUCCUGAAACAACCACAACUGAUGGUCCAACAACUCC
ensembl:lncRNA